CCUACGGGUGGCUGCAGUGGGGGAUAUUGCUCAAUGGGGGAAACCCUGAUGCAGCGAAGCCGCGUGUGGGAAGACGGUCCUCUGGAUUGUAAACCACUGUUCCCAGGGACGAAGAUGACGGUACCUGGGGAGGAAGCACAGGCUAACUACGUGCCAGAAGCCGCGGUAAUACGUAGGGAGCGAGCGUUGUCCGGAAUUACUGGGUGUAAAGGGAGCGUAGGCGGGACUGCAAGUUGGGUGUCAAAUCUACCGGCUCAACCGGUAGCCGCACUCAAAACUGCAGUUCUUGAGUGAAGUAGAGGUAGGCGGAAUGCGUGGUGUAGCGGUGAAAUGCGUAGAGAUUAGGAAGAACACCGGUUGCGAAGGCAGCCUGCUGGGCUUUUACUGACGCUGAGGCUCGAAAGUGUGGGGAUCAAACAGGAUUAGAUACCCUUGUAGUC
rnacentral:rRNA from 1 species